rnacentral:misc_RNA from 1 species
ACGUGAAGAUGCGCGCGAUGCAGCGCUUCUUCGAGGAAGGCGACAAGGUCAAGAUCACCUUGCGCUACCGCGGUCGUGAGAUGGCGCACCAGGAGAUCGGCACCAAGCUGCUGGACAAGGUGAAGGCCGACGUCGCCGAAUUCGCCAAGGUCGAGCAGGACGCGAAGUUCGAGGGCCGCCAGGUCGUGAUGGUGCUGGCGCCGCGCUAGUUCGAAUUUGUCGCUUUGUUGAAACGAAAUGGCCCGUCAGGCGA